GAUGAACGCUGGCGGCGUGCCUAAUACAUGCAAGUCGAGCGAACAGAUAAGGAGCUUGCUCCUUUGACGUUAGCGGCGGACGGGUGAGUAACACGUGGGUAACCUACCUAUAAGACUGGGAUAACUUCGGGAAACCGGAGCUAAUACCGGAUAACAUUUGGAACCGCAUGGUUCUAAAGUGAAAGAUGGUUUUGCUAUCACUUAUAGAUGGACCCGCGCCGUAUUAGCUAGUUGGUAAGGUAACGGCUUACCAAGGCAACGAUACGUAGCCGACCUGAGAGGGUGAUCGGCCACACUGGAACUGAGACACGGUCCAGACUCCUACGGGAGGCAGCAGUAGGGAAUCUUCCGAAAUGGGCGAACGCCUGACGGAGCAACGCCGCGUGAGUGAUGAAGGGUUUCGGCUCGUAAAACUCUGUUAUUAGGGAAGAACAAAUGUGUAAGUAACUGUGCACGUCUUGACGGUACCUAAUCAGAAAGCCACGGCUAACUACGUG
rnacentral:rRNA from 1 species